rnacentral:lncRNA from 1 species
CUUUGAAGAUGAGUGAUUUAAACUACUGUGGUGAUCAACCUCUUUCACUUAAAACUUUGCUAAAAAUCCAAAUUGUCUUCAAAUCCAGCGAAACUUGUGCCUUUUAAAGCUUAGCUUAUAAAGCUUAAUGCUCCCAAAUUCUUAGAUCCUAAAUCAAAUCUUAAAUUAAAUCCUAGACAAAUCCUAAAUCCUAAAUCAAAUCCUAAAUCAAAUCCUAGAUAAAUCCUAAAUUAUUAAUAAAAUCCUAGAUUAAAUCUUAGACUCUAAACCAAAUCCUAAAUCAAAUCCUAAACAAAUCCUAAAACCUAAAUCAAAUCUUAGAUCAAAUCCUAGAUCCUAAACUAAAUUUUAAUCCUACUCAAUCUAAUCCUAGUAUAGAUUAAAACUUCC